AAGAACUUGAACAAGAAAACGCAACAAUUAAGAAAAAGACUCCUGCUCAAGCUUCUGCUUGUGGCAAUUGCUCUUUGGGUGAUGCUUUUCGUUGUGCUUCUUGUCCUUAUCUUGGUCAGCCGGCUUUUAAACCGGGUGAGGAGGUUUUACUUGAUAUCUAGAAAAAAGGAAAGGAAAGAUUUAGAUGGAUGGUUUCAGGAUUGGGGAGGGGGAAGUGUGGAAAUUGUUUGUUUUUAUUGUUAUUUUACUUGUUUUUUUUGAGAACAAAAAUUAACAAAAUAGAAAAAAAU
rnacentral:ribozyme from 13 species